UACGGGGGGAGCAAGCGUUGUUCGGACUUACUGGGCGUAAAGGGCGCGUAGGCGGCCAGCACAAGUCAGUUGUGAAAUCUCCGAGCUUAACUCGGAAAGGUCAACUGAUACUGUGCGGCUAGAGUGCGGAAGGGGCAACUGGAAUUCUUGGUGUAGCGGUGAAAUGCGUAGAUAUCAAGAGGAACACCUGAGGUGAAGACGGGUGCUGGGCCGACACUGACGCUGACAGCGCGAAAGCCAGGGGGAGCAAACGGG
rnacentral:rRNA from 1 species